AAAAAAAAUCCACAUCUAAAGUUAUUUUUCUUCUUCGAGAAUCGCCGUCGCCGAUAAUGACCUCUGCAACAAAAAAAACUUGUCAUUCGUAAGGGCAAAACUAGAAAGAGGAAAGUGAAGAAACUAAGAAGAAGGUUCCAUCAUUCCAUUCGCCUGAGGAGAAUCUGACUGUUUUUUUUCGUCGACAAUUGUGACACGUCACCAACACGGUGGUGCAGACGAGGCUCGUAUCUGGGCUACACGCUUCAACAGUCCAACAAGGUCCUUUAAGGCAAUGUUUUUGUAAGCGUGUCCAUAAGCGUAGCAAUCACCCACUUUGCUAUUUUUAUUGCUAUCCGGAUAUACAAAUCCCAUAGGUUCGGUUUCCGAGGACAAGGGCAUUCAGCUAUUACAGGCGCAACCGUAACGCAGCAACCAAGAGAGGUUAUUAUGGCCACGAGGGGUCUUGACCAAUCGACAAUAGAAACAUACAAGAAAAUAGAGUUGGGAGAAAGUAGAAGGCUUCCGGGGAAUAAUGGAAUUUUAUGUCCGAUUUGUCUAUCAGAGUAUGCGAGCAGAGAGAGCAUACGGUCCAUACCGGAAUGUGAGCAUUGCUUCCACGUGGAAUGUAUUGAUGCGUGGCUCAAGAUUCAUGGUUCAUGCCCUCUUUGUAGGAACUCAUGUGCGUCAAGGAGAUGCUGAAAUAUGUCAAACGUUGUAAAGAUAUGUUGUGUCAUGGAACUGACAUAAACUCGAUACUCAUUUUUUUUUGGUGUGGGGAAGAUUAGAUGAUGGCCACGGCAAAAUUCUUGAAAUUGAGUAGGUAUGAUUUGAGGAAUUCUUGUAUCGAGGGGAUUUAGUAAAAAGGCUAAUUCGACUCUUUUCCAAAAUCCAAGAUUGGAUACUACUGUGAUCACAACGUUUUGAUGUAAAAUCUUUGACUUUGGUUGUGUAAUCCUUGAGUUUUAGUUGA